rnacentral:lncRNA from 1 species
GAAUAAGCAAUGGUAUAUUUCAUCUUUACAAACUCAACAAUAUCAUAGAGCCUUAUCAUAUACAUACAUACAUAUAUACUUUAUUUUAUAUUUUUAUCACCACUGCUUACAAAUCAACGAAUGCCUAGUCCGCGGCUAGCUCGACAUAACCUUGACUAUAUGCAAAACUACCACAAUUGUCCAAAGGGCUUUUUUAUAGUUGGUUUUCGUUUGAAUAAUCUGAGUAUCCAAAUUCCAAAGGGUAAAUGGCUCCCAUCGGAAUCGAAAAAAAAAAAUCACCGAUUCAGUUCGGUCUUUUCAAUUCUGGUUCAGUAUUUUUCUCAGGGAAAACCGAAAAAUCGGUUCGGAUUUGAACGAAUAUUUCGAUUCAGUUUUAGAUUCUUAAUUCAAAAACCGAACCGAAAAUCCUGAUAAAAUAUUUAUACAUAUACAUUUGUUUGUAUGUAUGUAUCAUUAACUCAAAUCGUAGCUCCAAAUCAAAGCCCUCACACUCGCACAAAUGAAAUCACCAAUCGUAGCCACCAAAUUCAAAGUCCUCAAAAAUCACCUUCUCCAGGCAAAAGGUCGAUCCACAAGCCCAAUUACUCAUUUGUUCCAUUCCUUCACACUUCGUACAGAGCAAACAAUGCAAGCAAAUCUUCCUCUAAGCAAAUCUAUUUCAAGUUCCACCAUCAACAACCUAGGCAGCAAAAGAGAAGAAAAAAAAAAGUUUAGCCGGAAUAUAGAGAAGACGAUAGAGCACACUACUGGCGCGCGCCUCCGCAGUCGUGUCUACCAUUGUGCUCUCCGUUCACGCGUUGCUUCAUGACUUCAUCAUCCACUUUUCUUCGCCUUUUUUUUAUCAGUAUUGUAUUGACUUGUUGAACUCUAGUGUUGUGAAUAUUUGUUUUGGUAUUUGAAUCUUUUUUUUUUUGGUUAUUUUUUACUUGUAACAAAAAUCAUGAAAGGAUAAUGAAAUCUGAAAGAGGGAUCUGAAGGUCUCUUUACAGAAAGAGAAUGGUAAUGCGCUCCGACAAAAUCUCUCAAACGCCGUUGGUAGGGGACCG